rnacentral:rRNA from 1 species
GACGAACGCUGGCGGCGUGCUUAACACAUGCAAGUCGAACGAAGUGGCGAACGGGUGAGUAACGCGUAAUCAACCUGCCCUUCAGAGGGGGACAACAGUUGGAAACGACUGCUAAUACCGCAUAUUGAAGGAGGGGAUUGCGUCUGAUUAGCAGGGGGGAGAGGUAACGGCCCACCAAGGCGAUGAUAAGUAGCCGGUCUGAGAGGAGGAACGGCCAAAAUGGGACUUAGGCGCGGCCCAAACUCCUAAGGGAGGCAGAAGGGGGGAAACUUCCGCAAUGGACGAAAGGUUGACGGAGCAACGCCGCGGGAGUGAUGACUGCCUUCGGGUUGUAAAGCUCUGUUUAUCGGGACGCGGUACCGGAAUAGAAAGCCACGGCUAACUACGUGCCAGCAGCCGCGGUAAUUC